CGUGAUGGGGUGGCCGCAAGGCUGGAAGCAACUGAUUUCACACUGUCAAGAAAAGCCGCUAGCGAGAUCGUAGGUGCCCGUACCGCAAACCGACACAGGUAGAUGAGGAGAGAAUCCUAAGGUGAGCGAGAGAACUAUUGUUAAGGAACUCGGCAAAAUAACCCCGUAACUUCGGGAGAAGGGGUGCUCCGGAAACGGAGCCGCAGUGAAAAGUCCCAGGCGACUGUUUACCAAAAACACAGGUCUCUGCGAAAGCGAAAGCUGAAGUAUAGGGGCUGACGCCUGCCCGGUGCUGGAAGGUUAAGGGGAUGUGUAAGGGCAACCGAAGCACCGAACUUAAGCCCCAGUAAACGGCGGCCGUAACUAUAACGGUCCUAAGGUAGCGAAAUUCCUUGUCGGGUAAGUUCCGACCCGCACGAAAGGCGUAACGAUCUGGGAACUGUCUCAACAAUAGACUCGGUGAAAUUGUAGUACCGGUAAAGAUGCCGGUUACCCGCAGCAGGACGGAAAGACCCCAUGGAGCUUUACUGUAGCUUGAUAUUGAGUUUCGGCGUUGCAUGUACAGGAUAGGUGGGAGACAGAGAAGUAAGUACGCCAGUAUUUAUGGAGUCAAUGUUGGGAUACCACCCUUGUAACGUUGAAGUUCUAACGGUGUGCCGUGAACCGGCAUCCGGACAGUGUCAGGUGGGCAGUUUGACUGGGGCGGUCGCCUCCUAAAGAGUAACGGAGGCGCCCAAAGGUUCCCUCAGCGCGGACGGAAAUCGCGCGAAGAGUGUAAAGGCAGAAGGGAGCUUGACUGCGAGACAUACAGGUCGAGCAGGGACGAAAGUCGGGCUUAGUGAUCCGGUGGUACCGAGUGGAAGGGCCAUCGCUCAACGGAUAAAAGCUACCCUGGGGAUAACAGGCUGAUACCGCCCAAGAGUUCACAUCGACGGCGGUGUUUGGCACCUCGAUGUCGGCUCGUCUCAUCCUGGGGCUGAAGUAGGUCCCAAGGGUUGGGCUGUUCGCCCAUUAAAGAGGUACGCGAGCUGGGUUCAGAACGUCGUGAGACAGUUCGGUCCCUAUCCGCUGUGGGCGUUGGAAAUUUGAGUGGAGCUGUCCUUAGUACGAGAGGACCGGGAUGGACGCAGCUCUGGUGCACCAGUUGUUCUGCCAAGAGCAUAGCUGGGUAGCUACCUGCGGACGGGUUAAGCGCUGAAAGCAUCU
rnacentral:rRNA from 1 species